UACAGAGGUCUCAAGCGUUAAUCGGAAUUACUGGGCGUAAAGCGUGCGCAGGCGGUUUUGUAAGUCUGUCGUGAAAUCCCCGGGCUCAACCUGGGAAUUGCGAUGGAGACUGCAAGGCUAGAAUCUGGCAGAGGGGGGUAGAAUUCCACGUGUAGGCAGUGAAAUGCGUAGAGAUGUGGAGGAACACCGAUGGCGAAGGCAGCCCCCUGGGUCAAGAUUGACGCUCAUGCACGAAAGCGUGGGGAGCAAACGAGG
rnacentral:rRNA from 1 species